AGUUUGAUCAUGGCUCGAGGACGAACGCUGGCGGUGUGCUUCACACAUGCAAGUCGAACGAGGUAGCAAUACCUAGUGGCGGACGGGUGAGUAACGCGUGGGAAUCUGCCUUUAGAUGGGGGAUAACGGGUCGAAAGACUCGCUAAUACCGCAUAUGACGAAAGUUGAAAGGAGUAAUCCGUCUAAAGAUGAGCCCGCGUCCGAUUAGCUAGUUGGUAGAGUAAAAGCCUACCAAGGCGACGAUCGGUAGCUGGUCUGAGAGGAUGAUCAGCCACAAUGGGACUGAGACACGGCCCAUACUCCUACGGGAGGCAGCAGUGGGGAAUUUUACGCAAUGGGCGAAAGCCUGACGUAGCGACACCGCGUGAGCGAAGAAGCCCCUUGGGGUGUAAAGCUCUGUCAGCUGGAACGAAAAAAUGACGGUACCAGCAGAGGAAGCAUCGGCUAACUACGUG
rnacentral:rRNA from 1 species